rnacentral:lncRNA from 1 species
AUAAAUAAUAAAAAAUAAUAAAUAUAACUAAAUACAAAUAAUAAAUAAAUUAAUAAAGGGGGUUCGUGUGAGACCCUGCUAACGUGCGCCGUAGGUAGGUGCGCAAGUUAACGGGUCUCCAUGCGUUGCGCACGUUAAGAACAUCGCACGGGAGCUUUCUAUCGUGCGCCGGGGAAAGGGGAAGAGGACGAGGGCGAGGGUUUGGGGAUGUUGCUGUUACCUUCUCUUCGAACAGUGGCAUCGUCCGCCAUUAACGCCGUACUUCCCAGCCACGUCCUCGGCGUGUGCGUGGCCGUGGCCGUGGCCGUGGCCGUGGCACCUCUUCUUGAUAAGUGGCGACGACGACAUGAGCGGCGGCUUCCCGGCGGCGGCGGCGGAGGCGGAGGCCGUGGCCGUGGCCGUGGCACCUCUUCUUGAUAAGUGGCGACGACGACAUGAGCGGCGGCUUCCCGGCGGCGGCGGCGGAGGCGGAGGAAGGAGGGGCGAAGAGGAGAGACGACGACGACGCC